UUCUCAUAUAUCAGCUGAAUUCUUUCUUUAGCUCAGUGUGUCUGUACCUGCAGAAUGGAAAGGUUUUAUGGGGUUACUAGAGGGUGAAAUCUGCACAUAGUCUUGAUAUGACAUGAUGAAAUCAACUUGAUGCUGAAAAAGGAUGAGUUCGAAGACCCAAACCCCCUUUAGGAACUACAACUGCAAACUGACAAUAACAGUCCAGCAUCAACAUAUCCAACAGCAACCCAGAACAUUUCAUGAAGUACUGAGUAAUAUACAACAUCCAGCUUGAAGCAUUGUUUUCUGUGUCUAUUCAGUGCAGAAAUCCAUCACUGAAGUGGAAAUGCAGGGAGCAGUAUGGAGUACCACAAGGUUCAGUACUAGGACCAUUGCUUUUCACGCUUUACAUGCUACCCUUGGGAGAUAUAAUGAGGAAACAUGGUGUUAGCUUUCACUGUUAUGCUGAUAAUACUCAGCUCUAUAUUUCUUCAUGGCCUGACAAAAC
ensembl:lncRNA